rnacentral:rRNA from 1 species
AUUGAACGCUGGCGGCAGGCUUAACACAUGCAAGUCGAGCGAGCGGCGGACGGGUGAGUAAUGUCUGGGAAACUGCCCGAUGGAGGGGGAUAACUACUGGAAACGGUAGCUAAUACCGCAUACUCUCCGAUUAGCCCAGAUGGGAUUAGCUAGUAGGUGGGGUAAUGGCUCACCUAGGCGACGAUCCCUAGCUGGUCUGAGAGGAUGACCAGCCACAUUGGAACUGAGACACGGCCCAGACUCCUACGGGAGGCAGCAGUGGGGAAUAUUGCACAAUGGGCGCAAGCCGGAUGCAGCCAUGCCGCGUGGAUGAAGAAGGCCUUCGGGUUGUAAAGUACUUUCAGCGGGGAGGCGGUACCCGAAGAAGAAGCACCGGCUAACUCCGUGCCAGCAGCCGCGGUAAUAC